rnacentral:rRNA from 1 species
GACGAACGCUGGCGGCGUGCCUAAUACAUGCAAGUAGAACGCUGAAGGAGGAGCUUGCUUCUCCGGAUGAGUUGCGAACGGGUGAGUAACGCGCAGGUAACCUGCCUGGUAGCGGGGGAUAACUAUUGGAAACGAUAGCUAAUACCGCAUAAGAGCAGAUGUUGCAUGACAUUUGCUUAAAAGGUGCAAUUGCAUCACUACCAGAUGGACCUGCGUUGUAUUAGCUAAUUGGUGGGGUAAUGGCUAACCAAGGCGACGAUACAUAGCCGACCUGAGAGGGUGAUCGGCCACACUGGGACUGAGACACGGCCCAGACUCCUACGGGAGGCAGCAGUAGGGAAUCUUCGGCAAUGGACGGAAGUCUGACCGAGCAACGCCGCGUGAGUGAAGAAGGUUUUCGGAUCGUAAAGCUCUGUUGUAAGAGAAGAACGAGUGUGAGAGUGGAAAGUUCACACUGUGACGGUAUCUUACCAGAAAGGGACGGCUAACUACGUGCCAGCCGCCGCGGUAA